rnacentral:sRNA from 2 species
UUGCACUGCGUAGAUUGCGGUUGCUGCGCGCCGUCCACACCGCCUGACGACUGCUCGCAAGGUGUGUUAGCC